ACUCCUACGGGAGGCAGCAGUAGGGAAUCUUCGGCAAUGGGGGGGAACCCUGACCGAGCAACGCCGCGUGAGUGAAGAAGGUUUUCGGAUCGUAAAGCUCUGUUGUAAGAGAAGAACGAGUGUGAGAGUGGAAAGUUCACACUGUGACGGUAACUUACCAGAAAGGGACGGCUAACUACGUGCCAGCAGCCGCGGUAAU
rnacentral:rRNA from 1 species